GAUGAAGAACGCAGCGAAAUGCGAUAAGUAAUGUGAAUUGCAGAAUUCAGUGAAUCAUCGAAUCUUUGAACGCACAUUGCGCCCGCCAGUAUUCUGGCGGGCAUGCCUGUUCGAGCGUCAUUUCAACCAUCAAGCCCCCGGGCUUGUGUUGGGGACCUGCGGCUGCCGCAGGCCCUGAAAAGCAGUGGCGGGCUCGCUGUCACACCGAGCGUAGUAGAUUUUAUCUCGCUCUGGGCGUGCUGCGGGUUCCGGCCGUUAAACCACCCUUUUAACCCAAGGUUGACCUCGGAUCAGGUAGGAAUACCCGCUGAACUUAAGCAUAUCAAUAAGCGGAGGA
rnacentral:misc_RNA from 1 species